UCAAGUUUAUAAGGGCAUACGGCGGAUGCCUAGGCGUUUCGAAACGAAGAAGGACGCGAUAAGCUGCGAUAAGCCGUGGUUAGCUGCAAGUAAGCAUUGAUCCACGGAUUUCCGAAUGGGGCAACCCGGCAAGAGUAACGUCUUGUCACCUUAUCUACGAGAUAAGGAGAAAACACCCGAUGAACUGAAACAUCUAAGUAGUCGGAGGAAAAGAAAUCAAAGAGAUUCCCUGAGUAGCGGCGAGCGAAACGGGAAGAGCCCAAACCAAGAGACUUCGGUUUCUUGGGGUUGCGGACCUGCAACAAACCGGACACUUUAGUGGAAGCAUCUGGGAAGGUGCGGCAAAGAGAGUGAGACCCUCGUACACGAAAGAGUGAAAGGCGGGCAGGGAUCCAGAGUACCACAGGGCACGAGGAACCCAGUGGGAAGCAGGGUGGACCACCAUCCAAGGCUAAAUACAUCGAAACGACCGAUAGUGAAAAGUACCGUGAGGGAAAGGUGAAAAGAACCCCGGGAGGGGAGUGCAAAAGAACCUGAAACCGUAUGUCUACAAACAGUCGAAGCACAAUUUAACGUGCGACGGCGUGCCUAUUGAAGAAUGAACCGGCGAGUUAAUUUAUGCUGCGAGGUUAAGCGGGCGACGCGGAGCCGAAGCGAAAGCGAGUCUUAAGAGGGCUGUUAGUAGCAUGGAUUAGACCCGAAACCACAGUGAUCUAUGCAUGUCCAGGUUGAAGCUCAGGUAAAAAUGAGUGGAGGACCGAACCCGUGCGUGUUGAAAAACGUUGGGAUGAGGUGUGCAUAGGGGUGAAAUGCCAAUCGAACGUGGAGAUAGCUGGUUCUCCCCGAAAUAGCUUUAGGGCUAGCCUCAGGCGAAUCACCAUAGAGACGGUAGAGCACUGAUCGGGCAAGGGGGCGUAAAGCCUACCGACCCCAGUCAAACUACGAAUGGCUCAUAUGGGCAGCCUGGGAGUCAGAAUGCGAGUGAUAAGACCCGUAUUCAAGAGGGAAACAGCCCAGACCGCCGGCUAAGGUCCCAAAUGCUGUGCUAAGUGGAAAAGGAUGUAGGACUUCGAAAACAACCAGGAUGUUGGCUCAGAAGCAGCCACCAUUAAAAGAGUGCGUAAUAGCUCACUGGUCGAGAGGCCCUGCGCCGAAAAUAUCCGGGGCUAAAGCACAGAACCGAAGCCGCGGCAGGGUGUACUAAGGUACACACUGGGUAGGGGAGCGUUCUUAUCUGGACGAAGGCAGACCGGAAGGACUGCUGGACGGGUAAGAAGUGAGAAUGCCGGUAUGAGUAGCGAAACGACAGGUGAGAAUCCUGUCCACCGAAAGCCUAAGGGAUCCUGGGCAACGCUCGUCGUCCCAGGGUAAGUCGGGACCUAAGCCGAGGCGAAAAGCAUAGGCGAUGGACAACUGGCGAAAAUUCCAGUACCGGGCGUCUUCGUUUAAGGAUGGAGUGACGCAGGAAGGAAGCUGAGCGCGCGAAUGGUUGGGCGCGUCGAAGGCGGUAGGCUUGUAUGGAGGCAAAUCCCCAUACUAUAAGGCCGAGAACCGAUAGAUAGGAAAGACUACGGUCAAUCUGAAUUCAGCUGCACUACACUGCCAAGAAAAGCUUCUAACGAGAAGACGUCCGCCCGUACCAAAACCGACACAGGUAGGCGGGGAGAGAAUCCUAAGGUGCGCGGGAAAACCCUCGUUAAGGAACUCGGCAAAAUGCAUCCGUAACUUCGGGAAAAGGAUGGCCGUUGAUGGUGAAGACAUUUACUGUUGGAGCUGUUGGCGGCGGCAGAAAAGAGGCCCAAGCGACUGUUUACCACAAACACAGGUGCCUGCGAAAGCGCAAGCUGAAGUAUAGGUGCUGACGCCUGCCCGGUGCAGGAAGGUUAAGGAGAGUUGUUAGUCUUUGGGAUGAAGCAGCGAACUGAAGCCCCUGUAAACGGCGGCCGUAACUAUAACGGUCCUAAGGUAGCGAAAUUCCUUGUCGGGU
rnacentral:rRNA from 1 species